rfam:Populus trichocarpa isolate Nisqually-1 chromosome 1, whole genome shotgun sequence.
UCUAGAACUCGAGAUAUGGGCUGAACAUUAAACAGUGUCUGGGCUGCAGGACAAAUUCUAACUUUUCUGUUGUUGCUACAAUUUGAACUUGAAAACAGUCCUUUUGAAUCUUGGACUCUGCAUGAAAAUUUUAGGCCUAUGUCUUAGCUUUCUAUC